rnacentral:piRNA from 1 species
UCCUGUCUGAUGCUAUAUUCUAGACUACAGG